AAUAUUGGAUAAUGGGCGAAAGCCUAAUCUAGCUAUCCCGCGUGUGUGAAGAUGGUCCUUGAAUAGUAAAGCAUUUUAAGUUGAGAGGAAGGGCAGUAAUUUAAUACCUUGCUAUUUUGACGUUACUGACAGAAUAAGCACUGGCAAAUUUCGUCCAAGCAGCCGCGGCAAUACGAAGGGUGCAAGCGGUAACCGGAAUUACUGGGCGUAAAGCGCGAGUAGGUUGUUUGUUAAGUUGGAAAUGAAAGCCCCGGGCUCAACCUGGGAACUGCUUUCAAAACUGGCAAGCUAGAGUAUGGCAGAGGGUGGUGGAAUUACCUGUGUAGCAGUGAAAUGCGUAGAUAUAGGAAGGAACACCAGUGGCGAAGGCGACCACCUGGGCUAAUACUAACACUGAGGUGCGAAAGCGUGGGGAGCAAAC
rnacentral:rRNA from 1 species